rnacentral:rRNA from 1 species
UACGAAGGGGGCUAGCGUUGUUCGGAAUUACUGGGCGUAAAGGGCGCGCAGGCGGUCGCUCAAGUCAGGCGUGAAAGCCCCGGGCUUAACCUGGGAAUUGCGCUUGAGACUGGGUGACUAGAGUUCGGGAGAGGUGAGUGGAAUUCCCAGUGUAGAGGUGAAAUUCGUAGAUAUUGGGAAGAACACCGGUGGCGAAGGCGGCUCACUGGACCGAUACUGACGCUGAGGCGCGAAAGCGUGGGGAG